rnacentral:rRNA from 1 species
AUUGAACGCUGGCGGCAGGCCUAACACAUGCAAGUCGAACGGUAACAGGAAGACGCUUGCUUCUUUGCUGACGAGUGGCGGACGGGUGAGUAAUGUCUGGGAAACUGCCUGAUGGAGGGGGAUAACUACUGGAAACGGUAGCUAAUACCGCAUAACGUCGCAAGACCAAAGAGGGGGACCUUCGGGCCUCUUGCCAUCGGAUGUGCCCAGAUGGGAUUAGCUUGUUGGUGGGGUAACGGCUCACCAAGGCGACGAUCCCUAGCUGGUCUGAGAGGAUGACCAGCCACACUGGAACUGAGACACGGUCCAGACUCCUACGGGAGGCAGCAGUGGGGAAUAUUGCACAAUGGGCGCAAGCCUGAUGCAGCCAUGCCGCGUGUAUGAAGAAGGCCUUCGGGUUGUAAAGUACUUUCAGCGGGGAGGAAGGGAGUAAAGUUAAUACCUUGGCUCAUUGACGUUACCCGCAGAAGAAGCACCGGCUAACUCCGUG